rnacentral:rRNA from 2 species
GACACGACUCUCGGCAAUGGAUAUCUCGGCUCUCGCAUCGAUGAAGAGCGCAGCGAAAUGCGAUAUGUGGUGCGAAUUGCAGAAUCCCGCGAACCAUCGAGUCUUUGAACGCAAGUUGCGCCCGAGGCCAACCGGCCAAGGGCACGUCUGCCUGGGCGUCAAGC